rnacentral:tRNA from 1 species
GCGCGGGUGGCGGAAUGGUAGACGCGCUACGUUGAGGUCGUAGUGCCCGAUAGGGCGUGGGGGUUCAAGUCCCCCUCCGCGCA